rnacentral:rRNA from 1 species
GACGAACGCUGGCGGCGUGCUUAACACAUGCAAGUCGAGCGGAAAGGCCCUUUCGGGGGUACUCGAGCGGCGAACGGGUGAGUAACACGUGAGUAAUCUGCCCCUGGCUUUGGGAUAGCCACCGGAAACGGUGAUUAAUACCGGAUACGACCACUUCUCGCAUGGGAUGGUGGUGGAAGGUUUUUCGGCCAGGGAUGUGCUCGCGGCCUAUCAGCUUGAUGGUGAGGUAAUGGCUCACCAUGGCUUCGACGGGUAGCCGGCCUGAGAGGGUGACCGGUCACACUGGGACGGAGACACGGCCCAGACUCCUACGGGAGGCAGCAGUGGGGAAUAUUGGACAAUGGGCGGAAGCCUGAUCCAGCAACGCCGCGUGAGGGAUGACGGCCUUCGGGUUGUAAACCUCUUUCAGCAGGGACGAAGCGCAAGUGACGGUACCUGCAGAAGAAGCACCGGCCAACUACGUGCCAGCAGCCGCCGUAA